rnacentral:rRNA from 1 species
AGAGUUUGAUCAUGGCUCAGGACGAACGCUGGCGGCGUGCUUAACACAUGCAAGUCGAACGGAAAGUGCUCUUCGGAGUGACUCGAGUGGCGAACGGGUGAGUAACACGUGGGUGAUCUGCCCUGCACUUUGGGAUAAGCCUGGGAAACUGGGUCUAAUACCGAAUACACCCUGCUGGUCGCAUGGCCUGGUGGGGGAAAGCUUUUGCGGUGUGGGAUGGGCCCGCGGCCUAUCAGCUUGUUGGUGGGGUGAUGGCCUACCAAGGCGACGACGGGUAGCCGGCCUGAGAGGGUGUCCGGCCACACUGGGACUGAGAUACGGCCCAGACUCCUACGGGAGGCAGCAGUGGGGAAUAUUGCACAAUGGGCGCAAGCCUGAUGCAGCGACGCCGCGUGAGGGAUGACGGCCUUCGGGUUGUAAACCUCUUUCAAUAGGGACGAAGCGCAAGUGACGGUACCUAUAGAAGAAGCACCGGCCAACUACGUGCCAGCAGCCGCGGUAAUACGUAGGGUGCGAGCGUUGUCCGGAAUUACUGGGCGUAAAGAGCUCGUAGGUGGUUUGUCGCGUUGUUCGUGAAAACUCACAGCUUAACUGUGGGCGUGCGGGCGAUACGGGCAGACUGGAGUACUGCAGGGGAGACUGGAAUUCCUGGUGUAGCGGUGGAAUGCGCGAUAUCAGGAGGAACACCGGUGGCGAAGGCGGGUCUCUGGGCAGUAACUGACGCUGAGGAGCGAAAGCGUGGGGAGCGAACAGGAUUAGAUACCCUAGUAGUCC